GAUGUCGAGUGGCGGACGGGUGAGUAAUGCUUGGGAACUUGCCUUUGCGAGGGGGAUAACAGUUGGAAACGACUGCUAAUACCGCAUAAUGUCUACGGACCAAACGGGGCUUCGGCUCCGGCGCAAAGAGAGGCCCAAGUGAGAUUAGCUAGUUGGUGAGGUAAAGGCUCACCAAGGCAACGAUCUCUAGCUGUUCUGAGAGGAAGAUCAGCCACACUGGGACUGAGACACGGCCCAGACUCCUACGGGAGGCAGCAGUGGGGAAUAUUGCACAAUGGGGGAAACCCUGAUGCAGCCAUGCCGCGUGUGUGAAGAAGGCCUUCGGGUUGUAAAGCACUUUCAGUUGUGAGGAAAAGUUAGUAGUUAAUACCUGCUAGCCGUGACGUUAACAACAGAAGAAGCACCGGCUAACUCCGUGCCAGCAGCCGCGGUAAUACGGAGGGUGCGAGCGUUAAUCGGAAUUACUGGGCGUAAAGCGCACGCAGGCGGUUUGUUAAGCUAGAUGUGAAAGCCCCGGGCUCAACCUGGGACGGUCAUUUAGAACUGGCAGACUAGAGUCUUGGAGAGGGGAGUGGAAUUCCAGGUGUAGCGGUGAAAUGCGUAGAUAUCUGGAGGAACAUCAGUGGCGAAGGCGACUCCCUGGCCAAAGACUGACGCUCAUGUGCGAAAGUGUGGGUAGCGAACAGGAUUAGAUACCCUGGUAGUCCACACCGUAAACGCUGUCUACUAGCUGUUUGUGACUUUAAGUCGUGAGUAGCGAAGCUAACGCGAUAAGUAGACCGCCUGGGGAGUACGGCCGCAAGGUUAAAACUCAAAUGAAUUGACGGGGGCCCGCACAAGCGGUGGAGCAUGUGGUUUAAUUCGAUGCAACGCGAAGAACCUUACCUACACUUGACAUGUUGAGAAGUUACCAGAGAUGGUUUCGUGCCUUCGGGAACUCAAACACAGGUGCUG
rnacentral:rRNA from 1 species